UGUAGCUCAGUGGUAGAGAGCUUGCCUAAUAUACAGGAGGCCCUGGGUUCAAACCCUAGCA
rnacentral:tRNA from 1 species